rfam:Leersia perrieri chromosome 11, whole genome shotgun sequence.
GCGCCUGUGGCCUAAUGGAUAAGGCGUUUGACUUCUAAUCAAACGAUUGUGGGUUCGAGUCCCACCAGGCGUG